rnacentral:rRNA from 1 species
AACGAACGCUGGCGGCGCGCUUAACACAUGCAAGUCGAACGAGAAGGCGUAGCAAUACGCUUGUAAAGUGGCGAACGGGUGAGGAAUACAUGGGUAACCUACCCUCGAGUGGGGGAUAACCCGCCGAAAGGCGGGCUAAUACCGCGUACGCUUCCGAUCUUGCGGGAUCGGAAGGAAAGCUGUCCCUUGGGGAUGGCGCUCAAGGAUGGGCUCAUGUCCUAUCAGCUUGUUGGUAGGGUAACGGCCUACCAAGGCAUCGACGGGUAGCUGGUCUGAGAGGACGAUCAGCCACACUGGCACUGCGACACGGGCCAGACUCCUACGGGAGGCAGCAGUGAGGAAUAUUGCGCAAUGGGCGAAAGCCUGACGCAGCGACGCCGCGUGGGGGAUGAAGGUCUUCGGAUUGUAAACCCCUUUCGGGUGGGAAGACGGCCCUAGACAACUAGGGCGGACGGUACCGCCAGAAGCAGCCACGGCUAACUUCGUGCCAG